rnacentral:misc_RNA from 1 species
GAUGAAGAACGCAGCGAAAUGCGAUAAGUAAUGUGAAUUGCAGAAUUCAGUGAAUCAUCGAAUCUUUGAACGCACAUUGCGCCCGCCAGUAUUCUGGCGGGCAUGCCUGUCUGAGCGUCAUUUCAACCCUCAUGCCCCUAGGGCGUGGUGUUGGGGAUCGGCCAAAGCCCGCGAGGGACGGCCGGCCCCUAAAUCUAGUGGCGGACCCGUCGUGGCCUCCUCUGCGAAGUAGUGAUAUUCCGCAUCGGAGAGCGAUGAGCCCCUGCCGUUAAACCCCCAACUUUCCAAGGUUGACCUCAAAUCAGGUAGGACUACCCGCUGAACUUAAGCAUAUCAAUAAGCGGAGGA